rnacentral:miRNA from 1 species
GACGUUCAUUCGUUCGUGCACACACACACACACACACACACACACACACACACACACACACAUAUAUAUAUAUAUAUAUAUAUAUAUAUAUAUAUAUAUAUAUAUAUGUGUGUGUGUGUGUGUGUGUGUGUGUGUGUGUGUGUGUGUGUGUGUGCGCGUGUGUGCGUG